ensembl:lncRNA
CUGAAAUCAAGAUUUGAACACCCAAUCAACUGAGCCGUUUGUGAUAUGUAAAGCACAUGAAGGGAGCGGAUGAAGCCUAUGAGGACUGCUGUAAGCUGUGAAGUAAAGAACAUGCACACCUCCAAAAGGCAUUCACGCUGACCGGCAGAGUGCUUUAACUUAUCCCCAGGUGCAGAGCUUCCAGAGAAGAACCAGUAGGGGCUGAGUAAUUCUAUGAUGAAGGCAAAUGUAGCUUCUGAAGGAGAUCCCUUCUUGGUCAAUAACUGGAGUAUUGAAAAGAAUUUAAAGGUGAAGGACCCACGGAGGCGCGCUCAAAGCCCGGGCCGAGUGGCCUGGACCUGGCGAGCUAGCGCACCGUGGCACCUGCAAGUGCCGCCCCAGCCUGGGGUGGAAGUGGACGACGGGCAGAGGAGCAGCCCUGGUGAGUGGUAUAUAAUGCAAUACAACCUUACCUGCUUAAGGCUUAACUAACAGGCCAAGAAGAGGGUCAGCAAGCAAACAAAAUGCAAAAAAGGCUAUAGAGAGAAGAUUGUCACCUUAAUAUAAAAACAUCCUGAACGUAUUGUAUCUUUUGUCCUUCAGCAAAUGUUAUUUAAAAAUAAUGUGGCAAAUAAAGACCUC